UACGUAGGGUCCGAGCGUUGUCCGGAAUUACUGGGCGUAAAGAGCUCGUAGGUGGUUUGUCGCGUUGUUCGUGAAAACUCACAGCUCAACUGUGGGCGUGCGGGCGAUACGGGCAGACUGGAGUACUGCAGGGGAGACUGGAAUUCCUGGUGUAGCGGUGAAAUGCGCAGAUAUCAGGAGGAACACCAAUGGCGAAGGCAGCUCGCUGGAACGGUACUGACGCUGAGGCGCGAAAGCGUGGGGAGCGAACAGG
rnacentral:rRNA from 1 species